ACAGAGGUCCCAAGCGUUGUUCGGAUUCAUUGGGCGUAAAGGGUGCGUAGGUGGCGCCGUAAGUCGGGUGUGAAAUUUCGGAGCUUAACUCCGAAACUGCAUUCGAUACUGCGGUGCUUGAGGACUGGAGAGGAGACUGGAAUUCAUGGUGUAGCAGUGAAAUGCGUAGAGAUCAUGAGGAAGACCAGUGGCGAAGGCGGGUCUCUGGACAGUUCCUGACACUGAGGCACGAAGGCCAGGGGAGCAAACGGGAUUAGAUACCCCGGUAGUCCUGGCAGUAAACGGUGCACGUUUGGUGUGGGAGGAUUCGACCCCUUCCGCGCCGGAGCUAACGCGUUAAACGUGCCGCCUGGGGAGUACGGUCGCAAGAUUA
rnacentral:rRNA from 1 species